rnacentral:rRNA from 1 species
ACUCCUACGGGAGGCAGCAGUGGGGAAUAUUGCACAAUGGGCGCAAGCCUGAUGCAGCCAUGCCGCGUGUAUGAAGAAGGCCUUCGGGUUGUAAAGUACUUUCAGCAGUGAGGAAGGUUCAUGCGUUAAUAGCGUAUGGAUUUGACGUUAGCUGCAGAAGAAGCACCGGCUAACUCCGUGCCAGCAGCCGCGGUAAUACGGAGGGUGCGAGCGUUAAUCGGAAUUACUGGGCGUAAAGCGCAUGCAGGUGGUUUGUUAAGUCAGAUGUGAAAGCCCGGGGCUCAACCUCGGAAUUGCAUUUGAAACUGGCAGACUAGAGUACUGUAGAGGGGGGUAGAAUUUCAGGUGUAGCGGUGAAAUGCGUAGAGAUCUGAAGGAAUACCGGUGGCGAAGGCGGCCCCCUGGACAGAUACUGACACUCAGAUGCGAAAGCGUGGGAGCAAACAGGAUUAGAUACCCUGGUAGCACAGAG